rnacentral:rRNA from 1 species
UACGAAGGGGGCGAGCGUUGUUCGGAUUUACUGGGCGUAAAGGGCGCGCAGGCGGCUCAUUUUGUCAGGCGUGAAAGCCCCGGGCUUAACCUAGGAACUGCGUUUGAUACGGAUGGGCUAGAGUUCGGGAGAGGAGAGUGGAAUUCCCAGUGUAGAGGUGAAAUUCGUAGAUAUUAGGAAGAACACCAGUGGCGAAGGCGGCCAUCUGGCUCGGUACUGACGCUCAGGUUCGAAAGCGUGGGGAGCAAACAGG